rnacentral:tRNA from 1 species
CUGGUUAGCUCAGUUGGUAGAGCGCUCCACCGGUAAUGGAGAGGUCCCGGGUUCGAUACCACCCGGACCAG